AGCGUAGACGGUGUUGCAAGUCUGAUGUGAAAGGCGGGGGCUCAACCCCUGGACUGCAUUGGAAACUGUGAUACUCGAGUGCCGGAGAGGUAAGCGGAAUUCCUAGUGUAGCGGUGAAAUGCGUAGAUAUUAGGAGGAACACCAGUGGCGAAAGCGGCUUUCUGGACGACAACUGGCGCUGAGGCGCGAAAGCCAGGGAGCAAACG
rnacentral:rRNA from 1 species